rnacentral:snRNA from 1 species
ACCGGGCCUAAGUUCCCU